UACAGAGGGUGCAAGCGUUGUUCGGAAUUAUUGGGCGUAAAGCGCGUGUAGGCGGCUUUGCAAGUCGGGUGUGAAAGCCCUCAGCUUAACUGAGGAAGUGCGCCCGAAACUGCAGAGCUUGAGUACCGGAGAGGAUGGCGGAAUUCCCCAAGUAGAGGUGAAAUUCGUAGAUAUGGGGAGGAACACCGGUGGCGAAGGCGGCCAUCUGGACGGAUACUGACGCUCAGGCGCGAAAGCGUGGGGAGCAAACAGG
rnacentral:rRNA from 1 species